rnacentral:rRNA from 1 species
AUUGAACGCUGGCGGCAUGCCUUACACAUGCAAGUCGAACGGUAACGCGGGGGCAACCCUGGCGACGAGUGGCGAACGGGUGAGUAAUACAUCGGAACAUAUCCAGUAGCGGGGGAUAACCUAUCGAAAGAUUGGCUAAUACCGCAUACGAUCUACGGAUGAAAGCGGGGGACCGCAAGGCCUCGCACUAUUGGAGUGGCCGAUGUCAGAUUAGCUAGUUGGUGGGGUAAAAGCCUACCAAGGCGACGAUCUGUAGCUGGUCUGAGAGGACGAUCAGCCACACUGGAACUGAGACACGGUCCAGACUCCUACGGGAGGCAGCAGUGGGGAAUUUUGGACAAUGGGCGCAAGCCUGAUCCAGCCAUGCCGCGUGAGUGAAGAAGGCCUUCGGGUUGUAAAGCUCUUUCGGUGAAGACGAAACGGUUAGUGUUAAUAACACUGACUAAUGACGGUACUCACAGAAGAAGCACCGGCUAACUACGUGCCAGCCGCCGCAGUAAGAC